rnacentral:rRNA from 1 species
UACGAAGGGGGCUAGCGUUGCUCGGAAUCACUGGGCGUAAAGCGCACGUAGGCGGGUCGUUAAGGCGGGGGUGAAAUCCUGGAGCUCAACUCCAGAACUGCCUUCGAUACUGGCGACCUUGAGUCCGGGAGAGGUGAGUGGAACUCCGAGUGUAGAGGUGAAAUUCGUAGAUAUUCGGAAGAACACCAGUGGCGAAGGCGGCUCACUGGCCCGGUACUGACGCUGAGGUGCGAAAGCGUGGGGAGCAAACAGG